AGUGAACGCUGGCGGUAGGCCUAACACAUGCAAGUCGAACGGCAGCACAGUAAGAGCCUGCUCUUACGGGUGGCGAGUGGCGGACGGGUGAAGAAUACAUCGGAAUCUACUUUUUCGUGGGGGAUAACGUAGGGAAACUUACGCUAAUACCGCAUACGACCUACGGGUGAAAGCAGGGGAUCUUCGGACCUUGCGCGAUUGAAUGAGCCGAUGUCGGAUUAGCUAGUUGGCGGGGUAAAGGCCCACCAAGGCGACGAUCCGUAGCUGGUCUGAGAGGAUGAUCAGCCACACUGGAACUGAGACACGGUCCAGACUCCUACGGGAGGCAGCAGUGGGGAAUAUUGGACAAUGGGCGCAAGCCUGAUCCAGCCAUACCGCGUGGGUGAAGAAGGCCUUCGGGUUGUAAAGCCCUUUUGUUGGGAAAGAAAAGCAGCAGGUUAAUACCCCGCUGUUCUGACGGUACCCAAAGAAUAAGCACCGGCUAACUUCGUG
rnacentral:rRNA from 1 species